rnacentral:rRNA from 1 species
GACGAACGCUGGCGGCGUGCCUAAUACAUGCAAGUCGAGCGGAACUGGGGGAGCUUGCUCCUUCCAGUUUAGCGGCGGACGGGUGAGUAACACGAGGGCAACCUGCCCUGCAGAUCGGGAUAACUCCGGGAAACCGGUGCUAAUACCGAAUAGUUUGGCGCCUCUCCUGAGGCGCCACGGAAAGACGGUUUCGGCUGUCACUGCAGGAUGGGCCCGCGGCGCAUUAGCUAGUUGGUGGGGUAACGGCCCACCAAGGCGACGAUGCGUAGCCGACUUGAGAGGGUGACCGGCCACACUGGGACUGAGACACGGCCCAGACUCCUACGGGAGGCAGCAGUAGGGAAUCUUCCGCAAUGGACGCAAGUCUGACAGAGCAACGCCGCGUGAGUGACGAAGGUUUUCGGAUCGUAAAACUCUGUUGUGAGGGAAGAACACGUACCAACUAACUAUUGGUACCUUGACGGUACCUCACCAGAAAGCCACGGCUAACUACGUGCCAGCAGCCGCAGUAA